UACGUAGGGGGCGAGCGUUGUCCGGAAUUAUUGGGCGUAAAGGGCUCGUAGGCGGUUUGUCGCGUCGGGAGUGAAAACUCAGGGCUUAACCCUGAGCCUGCUCCCGAUACGGGCAGACUAGAGGUAUGCAGGGGAGAACGGAAUUCCUGGUGUAGCGGUGAAAUGCGCAGAUAUCAGGAGGAACACCGGUGGCGAAGGCGGUUCUCUGGGCAUUACCUGACGCUGAGGAGCGAAAGUGUGGGGAGCGAACAGG
rnacentral:rRNA from 1 species